GUGGGGAAUAUUGCACAAUGGGCGCAAGCCUGAUGCAGCCAUGCCGCGUGUGUGAAGAAGGCCUUCGGGUUGUAAAGCACUUUCAGCGGGGAGGAAGGCGAUAAGGUUAAUAACCUUGUCGAUUGACGUUACCCGCAGAAGAAGCACCGGCUAACUCCGUGCCAGCAGCCGCGGUAAUACGGAGGGUGCAAGCGUUAAUCGGAAUUACUGGGCGUAAAGCGCACGCAGGCGGUCGGUCAAGUCGGAUGUGAAAUCCCCGGGCUCAACCUGGGAACUGCAUUCGAAACUGGCAGGCUAGAGUCUUGUAGAGGGGGGUAGAAUUCUAGGUGUAGCGGUGAAAUGCGUAGAGAUCUGGAGGAAUACCGGUGGCGAAGGCGGCCCCCUGGACAAAGACUGACGCUCAGGUGCGAAAGCGUGGGGAGCAAACAGG
rnacentral:rRNA from 1 species